GCGAAUGGGUGAGUAACACGUGGGUAACCUGCCCAAGAGAUUGGAAUAACACCUGGAAACAGAUGCUAAUACCGAAUAACAACAAGAGACGCAUGUCUCGAGUUUGAAAGAUGGGUUUUCUAUCACUCUUGGAUGGACCUGCGCUGCAUUAGCUAGUUGGUAAGGUAACGGCUUACCAAGGCGAUGAUGCAUAGCCGAGUUGAGAGACUGAUCGGCCACAUUGGAACUGAGACACGGUCCAA
rnacentral:rRNA from 1 species